rnacentral:rRNA from 1 species
CAGUAGCCGCGGUAACACGGAGGGAGCUAGCGUUAUUCGGAAUUACUGGGCGUAAAGCGCACGUAGGCGGCUUUGUAAGUUAGGGGUGAAAGCCUGGAGCUCAACUCCAGAAUUGCCUUUAAGACUGCAUCGCUUGAAUCCAGGAGAGGUGAGUGGAAUUCCGAGUGUAGAGGUGAAAUUCGUAGAUAUUCGGAAGAACACCAGUGGCGAAGGCGGCUCACUGGACUGGUAUUGACGCUGAGGUGCGAAAGCGUGGGGAGCAAACAGGAUUAGAUACCCGCGUAGUCCCUGUCUCUUAUAC